AGCAGCCGCGGUAAUUCCAGCUCCAAUAGCGUAUAUUAAAGUUGUUGCAGUUAAAAGCUCGUAGUUGAAUUUCGGGGUUAGUAGGUUGGUCAUGCCUCUGGUAUGUACUGGUCUCACUGAUUCCUCCUUCCUGAUGAACCUUAAUGCCAUUUAUUUGGUGUUUUGGGGAAUUUGGACUGUUACUUUGAAAAAUUAGAGUGUUUAAAGCAAGCUAACGCUUGAAUACAUUAGCAUGGAAUAAUGAAAUAGGACGUUCGAUCCUAUUUUGUUGGUUUCUAGGAUUGACGUAAUGAUUAAUAGGGAUAGUUGGGGGCAUUAGUAUUCAAUUGUCAGAGGUGAAAUUCUUGGAUUUAUUGAAGACUAACUACUGCGAAAGCAUUUUGCCAAGGAUGUUUUCAUUAAUCAAGAACGAAAGUUAGGGGAUCGAAGACGAUCAGAUACCGUCGUAGUCUUAACCAUAAACUAUGCCGACUAGGGAUCGGAUGAUGUUAAUUUUUUAAUGACUCAUUCGGCGCCUUAC
rnacentral:rRNA from 1 species